AAGCUAUUUUCUAGUCAUAUCUACACACUAUAAAGUCCACUGUGAUUUCUUCUACACAAAAGUUUUCAGCAUUCUCAGGCUGCAACUUGAAGAACAUGCCUGUGUGUAUGAUUGACUAUUUAAAGAAUUUGGUUUGCACCAUCUCUGACCAUUAUUUGAAGCUGGAACGCAUCCGACAUUAAUCUCAUAGAACUGAUGAUUCUUCUCCGAGCCUUAGCUAACAGCAACAUCAUCAGCUGCUUCGCUUGCAGACUGCUAAAUGUUGGCUGCAUUACUUUGCCACCUGCAGUCUGGUUGUUUGGUGGUGACAGAAGAAACUGAUAGGAGAGAUUGUCGUCUCUGAUCUCCUACCAAGAACAUCACAGAACAAGGCAGUAAAUUAAGUACUACAUCAUGAUGAUCCUUGGCUUAAACCAAGGCAAACAAAGUGCAUUUUGGAUGAGGAGGAAAAAGGUAUUCAGAUUGCAUAAUCCAAGAGAUCUUUCACAGCAUAUCUCAUCAACAAAUAUGGCAACAGAAAUAUAAGUAUCAGAUCUAACCAGAUGACCAGGGUUAAAUGAAGAGUGUUCAUUUCAGAAAAGGACAUUGAUGACUUCUUACAAACAUGCCACAUGGAGCCAAAACAAGUCCUCCAACUUCAGGACCUACCAGAGAAACAUGUUUGGUAGCAGAUCACUUUCAUUUCCAGUUCAUGCAUGGGACAUGAUGAUCAAAAGUCUUUGGAGCCAUGCAUCCUUUUGUUUCCUUUCCUUUUUUUGCAGCUGAAUUGAAUCCAAAUGGAUCUAAUGAAGACCUCAUUAUGUAUCAAAUGAUUCCCAGAUUUUGCACUGGCCCUCGUGGAUAAAAACUUUUUCUUGGGUAAAUUCUCAGACAUUCUGAUUCAAGAAGACAAAGCCACCACAGUAAGUGCUGCAGCUGAGAUAAGCUUGUGAGAAGCCCAGGCAAUUCCAACUUGGAACCACAAUUGUAGUGAUGAUGAACUUGAACAUGUUCUACUGAUGAAUCACUGAGUUUGGAAUCGAAUCUGCUGCUGUCGCGUGCCAAAGCUAAAGCUGUAAACUUCUCUGGAGUAAGGAUUGGCAACUGAAGAGAACAAACAAAGAUACAGCUUUUUUGUGUUGGAUACCUUUACAUGUCAAGCAAGCAUUAGAGGCUGUUAUUUGGAGCUCUGCCAUGGGCGUGGCAGAAUACAUAUGUCGAGGUGCGUCGCCAGUACAGGUUUCGAGGUUGAACUCUCUUUCUCUCUCUCGUCUCAGUACUUCUCCCUUAUCCACAUCGGAGUCAAUACUAUAAAUAUUUUUAGUGUCGAAAAGAUCACAUCGAAAAUCUAUCUAACAUCGAUUUUUCGUGCAGAGAAGGAUAACCCUCGAUAUUUGUGUAAGUCGGAUUCUCCUUGAAGGUGAUCACAGAGAUUGGGUGAUAACACAUGAUUAUGGCAAAAGCCACAAAUUCCUCCCACUAAGAACAUCAAUCUCAUUACUUAUUUGAUUCACCGACACCAACAUCAGAAAGCUGAAAGCUACACGCCCCACUUCAUCCCACAAACAAGGUACUACUCCACACUAAACCUUUAUUCAUGGCUAUUCUCCUCUCAUCAAACGACUACCGUCAGUGCUAGACUAGUAGUGAUCGUGCAUCAAUAGGGGAGAUAGCACUUGCUCGAUUUCACCGGGCCGAACUCGAAGAAGCCUGCGGUGUAGAGAGCAAUGGUGUUGUACCCGUCGCUCAGCUUCCUCUCAAACAUCAGAGAAGCUCCUGGUCCUUUCAGCCC
rnacentral:lncRNA from 1 species